ACUUUUUUAGUAUUAACUUGUAUAUUUGACUUCCAAUCAAAAGGACUUAAAUCUAAGAAAAAGUA
rnacentral:tRNA from 1 species